GGGGGCAUAGCUCAGCUGGGAGAGCAGCAGACUGAAGUUCAGGCCUCCGGCAGUGGCAACUUCCUAAUGCUCAAUUCUGAAGGUCCCGCGUUCAAUCCGCGGUGCCCCCA